AGAGUUUGAUCCUGUCUCAGAUUGAACGCUGGCGGCAGGCCUAACACAUGCAAGUCGAGCGGUAGAGAGAAGCUUGCUUUUCUUGAGAGCGGCGGACGGGUGAGUAAUGCCUAGGAAUCUGCCUGGUAGUGGGGGAUAACGUUCGGAAACGGACGCUAAUACCGCAUACGUCCUACGGGAGAAAGCAGGGGACCUUCGGGCCUUGCGCUAUCAGAUGAGCCUAGGUCGGAUUAGCUAGUUGGUGAGGUAAUGGCUCACCAAGGCGACGAUCCGUAACUGGUCUGAGAGGAUGAUCAGUCACACUGGAACUGAGACACGGUCCAGACUCCUACGGGAGGCAGCAGUGGGGAAUAUUGGACAAUGGGCGAAAGCCUGAUCCAGCCAUGCCGCGUGUGUGAAGAAGGUCUUCGGAUUGUAAAGCACUUUAAGUUGGGAGGAAGGGCAGUAAAUUAAUACUUUGCUGUUUUGACGUUACCGACAGAAUAAGCACCGGCUAACUCUGUGCCAGCAGCCGCGGUAAUACAGAGGGUGCAAGCGUUAAUCGGAAUUACUGGGCGUAAAGCGCGCGUAGGUGGUUUGUUAAGUUGGAUGUGAAAUCCCCGGGCUCAACCUGGGAACUGCAUUCAAAACUGACUGACUAGAGUAUGGUAGAGGGUGGUGGAAUUUCCUGUGUAGCGGUGAAAUGCGUAGAUAUAGGAAGGAACACCAGUGGCGAAGGCGACCACCUGGACUAAUACUGACACUGAGGCGCGAAAGCGUGGGGAGCAAACAGGAUUAGAUACCCUGGUAGUCCACGCCGUAAACGAUGUCAACUAGCCGUUGGAAGCCUUGAGCUUUUAGUGGCGCAGCUAACGCAUUAAGUUGACCGCCUGGGGAGUACGGCCGCAAGGUUAAAACUCAAAUGAAUUGACGGGGGCCCGCACAAGCGGUGGAGCAUGUGGUUUAAUUCGAAGCAACGCGAAGAACCUUACCAGGCCUUGACAUCCAAUGAACUUUCUAGAGAUAGAUUGGUGCCUUCGGGAACAUUGAGACAGGUGCUGCAUGGCUGUCGUCAGCUCGUGUCGUGAGAUGUUGGGUUAAGUCCCGUAACGAGCGCAACCCUUGUCCUUAGUUACCAGCACGUCAUGGUGGGCACUCUAAGGAGACUGCCGGUGACAAACCGGAGGAAGGUGGGGAUGAUGUCAAGUCAUCAUGGCCCUUACGGCCUGGGCUACACACGUGCUACAAUGGUCGGUACAGAGGGUUGCCAAGCCGCGAGGUGGAGCUAAUCCCACAAAACCGAUCGUAGUCCGGAUCGCAGUCUGCAACUCGACUGCGUGAAGUCGGAAUCGCUAGUAAUCGCGAAUCAGAAUGUCGCGGUGAAUACGUUCCCGGGCCUUGCACUCACCGCCCGUC
rnacentral:rRNA from 1 species